GUGUUGUAAUGCUUAAAAUCAUAAUUGGUUUUGUAUCCCAAGUAAAUUCAGGUUUAGAAUGGCACUCCCAUAUUUAACAGUGUGUACAGAACCGCAUUAAAAAGAGGAGUGACAUCUGUUUUUACCUGCAGUGUGAACAGGCUGUACUUCAAUCCCUCACAGCUGCUUUUCGUUCAUAUCAAAAUAUGGCAUCUACUCCGACUCAACACUGCUCCUACAGAAGAGAGUUUUCCUACACAGUGUUGCUGGCAUGCUCAUCUGAUGAUGCACUGAGGUCUCGUCAUCCUUGGCUGUUUGCGUGUGGCCUGAUUUCAGAUGCAAGAGAAGAGAUGACCAAUGGUGAAGCAUUAACUCUUUCUGCUGUCACAGUCUAAGACACAUACACACGUUAGGUAUUAAAAACAGGACUGAAUAGGAACGAUGGUGCAUGGAAGAGAAAUGAGCAUAUUUGUGUCUGUGUUUGGAUCCCAGGUUUCGGUUAAAUAUGCAAACAGGUUAUAUAUGCAUCUGUUGAGCCCUAAUAGAGGGUUGAAUGCGACAGGUUGGAAUGAAUGGCUUGAAAUGCUAGCACCUUGUUUUGUGCAAAUCACCCCCAAACUCCAUACAAAGAGUAAAAUCUUCACCUUUUUUGACAGGUGGUUAACUAUGCAUAUAUGCCAAACAUUCAUAUAUAGAUCUAUAUAUUUUUUGAUUUUUAAAAAUUUAUAUGAAAACUAUCAUAUAUACAUUGCUUGUGAUUGAUAUAAAAAGCAAAUAUUUUAGUUAUUUGUCCAUAUGUACAGCUGCAGGAUCUCUGGGCUUCUUUUACAUUGAUGUUUUUUCAUUUAAUCUUUUGUCCUCAGCAUUUUCUUUGAACUAACUGACAUUCUAAAAUUAAUUCUAAAUGAAUUCAUAAAAUUCUUCUAAGCAUCAUAUUUCACAAGCUACGAAAUCCACCUAUGAGAAAAAAAAUAAAAAAUAAAAAAAAUAAAGAAAUAAAAAAGGCCAAAACAAAUAGGCCAAAUGCUUCAGUGCUUUCAGCAGGUUAACAUAUAAGCCAUACGGUGGAAACUUUUACAAUUAUAGAUUCUGUCUUCAGGUUUGAGAUGUUGAACACCAGUCGUUACCAUCCAGAUAAGCUGCAAUAUUCCAGAUGUUUCUCGUCCCACAGUGGUUCUAUCAUGCACACCUCACACACAUUAGUUCACACACUUGUUUACAUGCACACUUAUUGCAGAGUUUCUUAUUCAGAAUUUCUUAUUACCAGAUUAAGAAGACUUCUUUAGAUCAAAUUUGGAUAAGAAACUGGUGUGGCUGUGUGCAUGAAAGUGUGUAACUGUACUGGGAAUGUAAAAACUACAAACGAAUAACUGACAGUAGUGGUGUGUGUGAGGGGGCUCAAACAUGAACACACCAUUACAGCCCACUGUGGGAUGUUCAAUUAAAGAUGGAAGACCAGGUUCAGUAAAACUUUAACAAACAAAAGCAAAAAAGGGAGUGGUACAAUACAAAUCGAACAAUCCAGUCAACCGUCAUUCCGUAUGGUGAUGUCACGUUUCAUGCUACAGUCCAUCAUAAAAGGAUAACCAAAAAUCUUUUUCAAG
ensembl:lncRNA